rnacentral:rRNA from 1 species
GACGAACGCUGGCGGCGCGCUUAACACAUGCAAGUCGAACGGAAAGGCCUGCUUUCCCUUGUGGAUUGCGGGUACUCGAGUGGCGAACGGGUGAGUAACACGUGAGUGAUCUGCCCCCAACUUGGGUAUAAGCCUGGGGAACUGGGUCUAAUUCCCGAUAGGACUGCAGGGUGGUGCCUGUGGUGGAAAACGAUUUUCUAGUGGUUGGGGAUGAGCUCGCGGCCUAUCAGCUUGUUGGUGGGGUAAUGGCCUACCAAGGCGGCGACGGGUAGCCGGCCUGAGAGGGUGGACGGCCACAUUGGGACUGAGAUACGGCCCAGACUCCUACGGGAGGCAGCAGUGGGGAAUAUUGCACAAUGGGCGGAAGCCUGAUGCAGCGACGCCGCGUGGGGGAUGACGGCCUUCGGGUUGUAAACUCCUUUCGACCGCGAGGAAGCCACCUGGUUGGAAGGGUGGUGACGGUAGUGGUAGAAGAAGCACCGGCUAACUACGUG